GAUUGGCAAUCUGGAGAGUGCUGAAACAGCUUCAGCCACCGAAGGGGCAUGCGGAAAGUUGACCGUAAAACUCUCAGGUAAAAGGACAGAGGGGUAAGU
rfam:Nitrosomonas europaea ATCC 19718, complete genome